UUUUCCACUCAAACUCACAUGUUCAAUGUGCUUCAAUAUCUUAUGCUCACCUUGCCUUAUCUGAGAACCUCCAUCUCGCCGGAGCUCACCACCGGUGGCGGCGGAGCAUCAAACACACAAAAACUCACAUCAUCUCAAUCAACUCUAAGAGCUCUAACUAUAUCCUAAGUCAACUUAAAGUUCCUAAAUCGAGCCAAAAUCCAUAUGAACCCUAGCCGAAGAAAUUCAAAUUAAAUCUCAAAUUGGAGGAAUCAAAGUCCUUAAGGUCAGGGCUUUGAUUCCUAGGCCCUUCUCCUGCAUGAUAGUAACAAGAAAUGUGAUUAAGGAUGAAGAAUGAAGACUUACCUGCCGGAGAGAGGAAUAUUCUGAGCUCGGAGUAAAUUCGAAGAUAUUGAUGGAGAAUUGCAGGUUAGAUUCAACUGCGUGGAUUUGCUAUGGAUCAAAUGAUGACCUUCUAGUGUAGGGCUGAUGUUGCUUGGCACUUUGGUCAUGAUUCAAGACUUGACAUGAAACAUGGUUCAAGGAAGAAAAGGCAAAAACAUGGCUUGCUUGCAUAUGAAUCAAGCUUUGGAUGGGAAGUCAAAUGAACACAUGGAAUAGUGAAGACACCAUAGGAAAUUAUAAUUAGGAUUAGGGAUUUAGAUGAGUUGACUUUGGUCAACUGGUUGAUCAAAAAGUCAAUAGUUGACCAAAGUCAACUAUAGGUCAAAAAUCAGUUUUUUUUUUGUAAUUCUUUGCAUGGACAUUUGUAAACUUUGCAUUUGUAAAUGACAUGAACAAUUUUGAAUGAAAAACGAUUUAAUGCAAAAUGCUUUAAUUUCAAUUUGAACUUUCCCU